rnacentral:rRNA from 1 species
ACGCUCGACACCUACGGGAUGCAGCAGUCGGGAAUAUUGCGCAAUGGAGGAAACUCUGACGCAGUGACGCCGCGUGCAGGAAGAAGGUUUUCGGAUUGUAAACUGCUUUAGACAGGGAAGAACAAAUGACAGUACCUGUAGAAUAAGCUCCGGCUAACUACGUGCCAGCAGCCGCGGUAAUCUGAGCGGGCUGGCGAAGGC